rnacentral:lncRNA from 1 species
GCAUAUGCCCGGGUCUUAUGACAAAGCAAAAGGGAAAGUUGAUUUUCUUUUUCCUUUUUUUCCUCUUUCUUUUUCCUGAGCGCGCGCACACUGAGGAUCGAUGCACAAACGCAGCUGAAGAAGUUGAAUAGAUCACCUGUGAGAGUGUACGUGAGUCUGCAUGCAGGCUGCAUCCUCACACAAAUCUGUGGCGCCCGCCUGCGCGCGCUCGCUUGCCUCUGCCGAGAGCGCGCAUCUUGCCUUCUUGUGAGCCUGUUUGUGUGUUUUGCGGAUGUGGGAGUAGAGAGGGGAGGUGGAGGAGAGAGAGAGAGGGGGGGGUGGGUGGGGGGUGGUGGCUGUUGAUGUGCAAAUGUGCAUCAUGUUGAAGGGCUGUGAAUGGGGGGGUGUGACGUAAAAAGGGACCCGAACGCAGGUGCUUAUCUCGAGGCUGUCAAAGGCACAGUAUGUCAUAUUCCUGGGGACUACCUUUCAAAGACACAGCACCAGCUCAGCUUUCAAGAGACUGGGAGAAAAUCAAACUUUUUGGAUCAUAGCAAUAGAUGAUGAAUUACAGCAUCACCUCCUGAGAGAUAACCAGAGUGAAAGCAUCAGCCGGGGGCAGCACUUUGGAUCUGGCACCUUGUCCUUCAGAACUCUCAGAAAACUGCAAUCAGAGGUAUGUAUUCAGUCAGAAAAGACAAAUUAAGCUUUUGAAGUGGCCUUUUGAUAGAGCUGGGAGUACUUUUUCAUCAGAAUGAUCACAAACUUAGAGUUUGACUGAA